GAAGGUAUAGCUCAGGGGUAGAGCACACGCUUAACGUGCAGGAGGUCCUGAGUUCAAACCCCAGUACCUCCA
rnacentral:tRNA from 1 species